UGGGGAAUAUUGCACAAUGGGCGCAAGCCUGAUGCAGCCAUGCCGCGUGUAUGAAGAAGGCCUUCGGGUUGUAAAGUACUUUCAGCGGGGAGGAAGGGAGUAAAGUUAAUACCUUUGCUCAUUGACGUUACCCGCAGAAGAAGCACCGGCUAACUCCGUGCCAGCAGCCGCGGUAAUACGGAGGGUGCAAGCGUUAAUCGGAAUUACUGGGCGUAAAGCGCACGCAGGCGGUUUGUUAAGUCAGAUGUGAAAUCCCCGGGCUCAACCUGGGAACUGCAUCUGAUACUGGCAAGCUUGAGUCUCGUAGAUGGGGGUAGAAUUCCAGGUGUAGCGGUGAAAUGCGUAGAGAUCUGGGGGAAUACCGGUGGCGAAGGCGGCCCCCUGGACGAAGACUGACGCUCAGGUGCGAAAGCGUGGGGAGCAAACAGG
rnacentral:rRNA from 1 species